rfam:Bacillus sp. 1NLA3E, complete genome.
AAAGUGGCUCUUUUUUAGAGCCACUCAGAUUGUCGAGAAAGUUUAUU